rnacentral:rRNA from 1 species
GACAGAGGGUGCAAACGUUGUUCGGAAUUACUGGGCGUAAAGCGCGUGUAGGCUGUUUUGCAAGUCGGAUGUGAAAGCCCUGGGCUCAACCUAGGAAGUGCACUCGAAACUGCAGAACUGGAGUCCUGGAGAGGAAGGCGGAAUUCUCGGUGUAGAGGUGAAAUUCGUAGAUAUCGAGAGGAACACCGGUGGCGAAGGCGGCCUUCUGGACAGUGACUGACGCUGAGACGGCGAAAGCGUGGGGAGCAAACAGGG